rnacentral:rRNA from 1 species
UACGUAGGGCGCAAGCGUUGUCCGGAAUUAUUGGGCGUAAGAGCUCGUAGGCGGUUUGUCGCGUCUGCUGUGAAAACCUAAGGCUCAACCUUGGGCUUGCAGUGGGUACGGGCAGACUAGAGUGCGGUAGGGGUGACUGGAAUUCCUGGUGUAGCGGUGGAAUGCGCAGAUAUCAGGAGGAACACCGAUGGCGAAGGCAGGUCACUGGGCCGCAACUGACGCUGGAGGAGCGAAAGCGUGGGGAGCGAACAGG